rnacentral:rRNA from 1 species
UACAGAGGGGGCAAGCGUUAUUCGGAAUUAUUGGGCGUAAAGGGCGCGUAGGCGGCUUUGCAAGUGGCGGGUGAAAGCCCUCGGCUUAACCGAGGAACUGCCUGUCAGACUGUAAGGCUUGAGACCGGGAGAGGUGAGUGGAAUUCCCAGUGUAGCGGUGAAAUGCGUAGAUAUUGGGAGGAACACCAGUGGCGAAGGCGGCUCACUGGACCGGAACUGACGCUGAGGCGCGAAAGCGUGGGGAGCAAACAGG